ACUCCUACGGGAGGCAGCAGUGAGGAAUAUUGGUCAAUGGACGAAAGUCUGAACCAGCCAUGCCGCGUGUCAGGAAGAAUGCCCUAUGGUUGUAAACUGCUUUUAUUUGGGAAGAAACCCCUUUACGUGUAGAGGGCUGACGGUACCAAACGAAUAAGCACCGGCUAACUCCGUGCCAGCAGCCGCGGUAAUACGGAGGGGUGCAAGCGUUAUCCGGAAUCAUUGGGUUUAAAGGGUCCGCAGGCGGGCUUAUAAGUCAGUGGUGAAAUCUCUCGGCUCAACCGAGAAACUGCCAUUGAUACUGUAGGUCUUGAAUUCGGUCGAAGUGGGCGGAAUGAGUAGUGUAGCGGUGAAAUGCAUAGAUAUUACUCAGAACACCGAUAGCGAAGGCAGCUCACUAGGCCUGGAUUGACGCUGAGGGACGAAAGCGUGGGGAGCGAACAGGAUUAGAUACCCCUGGUAGGAUAGCG
rnacentral:rRNA from 1 species